AUUGAACGCUGGCGGCAGGCCUAACACAUGCAAGUCGAGCGGAUGAAGGGAGCUUGCUCCUGGAUUCAGCGGCGGACGGGUGAGUAAUGCCUAGGAAUCUGCCUGGUAGUGGGGGAUAACGUCCGGAAACGGGCGCUAAUACCGCAUACGUCCUGAGGGAGAAAGUGGGGGAUCUUCGGACCCCACGCUAUCAGAUGAGCCUAGGUCGGAUUAGCUAGUUGGUGGGGUAAAGGCCUACCAAGGCGACGAUCCGUAACUGGUCUGAGAGGAUGAUCAGUCACACUGGAACUGAGACACGGUCCAGACUCCUACGGGAGGCAGCGGUGGGGAAUAUUGGACAAAGGGCGAAAGCCUGAUCCAGCCAUGCCGCGUGUGUGAAGAAGGUCUUCGGAUUGUAAAGCACUUUAAGUUGGGAGGAAGGGCAGUAAGUUAAUACCUUGCUGUUUUGACGUUACCAACAGAAUAAGCACCGGCUAACUUCGUG
rnacentral:rRNA from 1 species